rnacentral:rRNA from 1 species
AAAGGCGUAAUGAAAGUGAAGGUUCGCCACGCGCGAACCGAGGGAGGAUGGACGGUCGAUCGUGGCCGUCCCGCACUCCCUGGGCGUCUCGUUCUCAUAGCGAGAAGAGGCGCACCAAGAGCGUACACGCUGGGACCCGAAAGAUGGUGAACUAUGCCUGGUCAGGACGAAGUCAGGGGAAACCCUGAUGGAGGUCCGUAGCGAUUCUGACGUGCAAAUCGAUCGUCGGAACUGGGUAUAGGGGCGAAAGACUAAUCGAACCAUCUAGUAGCUGGUUCCCUCCGAAGUUUCCCUCAGGAUAGCUGGCGCUCGCUUCUGGCGAGUCUCAUUCGGUAAAGCGAAUGAUUAGAGGCAUUGGGGUCGAAACGGCCUCAACCUAUUCUCAAACUUUAAAUGGGUGAGAUCUCCGGCUUGCUUGAACUGUGAAGCCGCGAGAUAUCGGAUCAGAGUGCCAAGUGGGCCACUUUUGGUAAGCAGAACUGGCGCUGUGGGAUGAACCAAACGCCGAGUUAAAGCGCCUAAAUCGACGCUUAUGGGA